AGUGAACGCUGGCGGUAGGCCUAACACAUGCAAGUCGAACGGCAGCACAGUAAGAGCUUGUUCUUACGGGUGGCGAGUGGCGGACGGGUGAGGAAUACAUCGGAAUCUACUUUUUCGUGGGGGAAAACGUAGGGAAAAUUAUGCUAAUACCGCAUACGACCUACGGGUGAAAGCAGGGGAUCUUUGGACCUUGCGUGAUUGAAUGAGCCGAUGUCGGAUUAGUUAGUUGGCGGGGUAAAGGCCCACCAAGGCGACGAUCCGUAGCUGGUCUGAGAGGAUGAUCAGCCACACUGGAACUGAGACACGGUCCAGACUCCUACGGGAGGCAGCAGUGGGGAAUAUUCGACAAUGGGCGCAAGCCUGAUCCAGCCAUACCGCGUGGGUGAAGAAGGCCUUCGGGUUGUAAAACCCUUUUGUUUGGAAAGAAAAGCAGCAGGUUAAUACCCCGCUGUUCUGACGUUACCCAAAGAAUAAGCACCGGCUAACUUCGUG
rnacentral:rRNA from 1 species